UGGGGAAUCUUGCACAAUGGGGGCAACCCUGAUGCAGCGACGCCGCGUGAGCGAUGAAGGUUUUCGAAUCGUAAAGCUCUGUCCUAUGGGAAGAUAAUGACGGUACCAUAGGAGGAAGCCCCGGCUAACUACGUGCCAGCAGCCGCGGUAAUACGUAGGGGGCGAGCGUUGUCCGGAAUUACUGGGCGUAAAGGGUUCGCAGGCGGCAUGGCAAGUCCGAUGUAAAAGGCGAAGGCUCAACCUUCGUAAGCAUCGGAAACUGUCAAGCUUAAGUGAAGGAGAGGCAAGUGGAAUUCCUAGUGUAGCGGUGGAAUGCGUAGAUAUUAGGAGGAAUACCGGUGGCGAAGGCGACUUGCUGGACUUCAACUGACGCUGAGGAACGAAAGCGUGGGUAGCAAACAGG
rnacentral:rRNA from 1 species